GUGGGGAAUAUUGGACAAUGGGCGAAAGCCUGAUCCAGCCAUGCCGCGUGUGUGAAGAAGGUCUUCGGAUUGUAAAGCACUUUAAGUUGGGAGGAAGGGCAGUAAGUUAAUACCUUGCUGUUUUGACGUUACCAACAGAAUAAGCACCGGCUAACUUCGUGCCAGCAGCCGCGGUAAUACGAAGGGUGCAAGCGUUAAUCGGAAUUACUGGGCGUAAAGCGCGCGUAGGUGGUUCAGCAAGUUGGAGGUGAAAUCCCCGGGCUCAACCUGGGAACUGCCUCCAAAACUAAAUGACUAGAGUACGGUAGAGGGUAGUGGAAUUUCCUGUGUAGCGGUGAAAUGCGUAGAUAUAGGAAGGAACACCAGUGGCGAAGGCGACUACCUGGACUGAUACUGACACUGAGGUGCGAAAGCGUGGGGAGCAAACAGGAUUAGAAACCCGGGUAGUCC
rnacentral:rRNA from 1 species